UCUACUACUCGAUGUUGAAUGACAAAAAUAAAAUCAAUCAACAAAAUAACGAGUUUGCAGUUGCAUGUUGACAUUGUUGUUGUUCUAUUGAUAUGCUAAUCAAACACCACCUCACAAAUUGUUUACUUCACAGUCAUGACGAAACAUAGAAAUAGUUCCUACUUUAAGUGUUGGCAGAAUAUGCUGAUCUGAUUGCAGAGGUAUGUGGAAUGGAAAGAAAGAGAUACAUGUACAUACAGAGACUGUUUGAAUUUAAGGUGUAAAAAUGAGCUACAUGUACCAGAAAAGAUAUUGAAAAUUUAAAAACUGUUUUAACAAGAGCAUCAUAAAAUAUAAAAAAAAAAGAACAAUACCAGGUCUGGACCUUUGUGACUGCAUGCAAUUAAUUCUAAAGUACCAGGAAACAAGAUGUAGCUGCACAGCAGACAUGGCAGAUCUUAAAAUUGCUAAUAGGCAUCAACUCAACAUUUUCAAGCUGCAUUUAAAAGGAAAAGCAUUCCUUUUCAUAGAAUCCAAGAUUUUUUUAACCAAGUCAAGUGGUUAUUAGACCUGUUAUCAUGAAAAUACUAACAUAUAUAUUAGUAUUAACAGUCACAUGUAAUAUCCCAAAUAUAAGAACUAUUUGGUAUGUGUGACUAUCUUUCUUCCCAUGUCAUGUUACAUGUAUGCUCAGAAUAUUUUAAUGUCUCAAGGAUAUGAAAUGGAUAAAUGAUAUAUUGUCAACCAUUUAAAUAAAACAGACAGGCUCACAUAUAAAUUAACUGUCUAUGUGAAAGUUCAAGUUGACUAAAAUUGUCUAGAAUUAAAAAAACAUAUAUCCAAAAGUACAGAAUUGCCUUUCUCAGAAAUUUUGUAUGUUUAAUAGAAUGAUACUUGUAGCUUCUA